AGUCCUAAGCCACGGUAAGAAUAAGGGACAAUAGUGCACCUUGGCGAGUGUUCUCCAGCCGUGUCUUUUUACUUUCUAUUCCUUCUCUUUUAGCCUUUCACUAAUAAACUAAGCAGGAAGGAAGGAAACGUGUCUAGAGCAAGGACCUGGAGUUAUAUUUUUCCGCUUUAUAAAUAGGUUUAAAAUAAAUGGGCUUUAUGAUAAAACUGUUACUGCGUGGCACAACCUAAUUUGCCAGCUUUACUGUAAACACUGAGAAAACAAUGAGAGAUAAAUGAAGCUUGACGGGGAGGGACUCUGGAAUGACAGAAGCUGGAAUCAUCUCUGAAAGAAGGAAAACUUUGCUUUCUGUGAUUUAUUGGUGCUGUUUUUGGCUGUAGUCGGCAGGGCAUGGAGCAAGGCUUUGUCCGACACGGCGGCAGCCAUCCAUGUCGGCCAGGAAAUGGGUCCAGGAAGGAAUCCUAAUGUUUUGACUGCACGCUGUAUCUUCAUAACCUUGAGAUUCAUUGGGUGUUUCCCUGCCUGACUCAUUAUGUCCGGGUGGUCUCAUACACACAAUCCUUUCCCAUUAAAUAGAUCAGACCAACACAACUGAAACCAGUAUGAUGACUUACAAACAGCUCUACAGUGCACUACAAGUGUCUAUGGAUUCCUACAGAGAGACCCGAGAUAAAUGGGAAGUGCUUUAGGUGCAGUAUAUACAGUACUGCCAUUUUCAGAAGGGUCACAUUAUUGGGCUGCAUCAACAAAAGGAGAUUUGAACUUCCUGGAACUGGGUUAAGAAACUUAUGAUUACUACAUUAUCAAAACCUGGAAGGACAGAGCUGAACUGUAAACUUUGUGGAAGAGCAUUUAGAUUUAGGCAUUUGGCAGACACCCUUAUCCAGAGCGACUUAUAUUUUUAUCUCAUUAUACGUCUAAAGCAGUUGAGGGCCUUGCUCAAGGGCCCAACAGUGGUAACUUGGUGGUCGUGGGGCUUGAACCUGGGACCUUCCGAAAUA